CUCCGGUUGAUCCUGCCGGACCCGACUGCUAUCAGAGUGGGACUAAGCCAUGCGAGUCAACAUAGCAAUAUGUGGCAUACGGCUCAGUAACACGUAGUCAACAUGCCCAGGGGACGUGGAUAACCUCGGGAAACUGAGGAUAAACCGCGAUAGGCCAAGGUUUCUGGAAUGGACACUGGCUGAAACCUAUAUGGCCCCUGGAUUGGACUGCGGCCGAUCAGGCUGUUGGUGAGGUAAUGGCCCACCAAACCUGUAACCGGUACGGGCUUUGAGAGAAGGAGCCCGGAGAUGGGCACUGAGACAAGGGCCCAGGCCCUAUGGGGCGCAGCAGGCGCGAAACCUCUGCAAUAGGCGAAAGCUUGACAGGGUUACUCUGAGUGAUGCCCGCUAAGGGCAUCUUUUGGCACCUCUAAAAAUGGUGCAGAAUAAGGGGUGGGCAAGUCUGGUGUCAGCCGCCGCGGUAAUACCAGCACCCCGAGUGGUCGGGACGAUUAUUGGGCCUAAAGCAUCCGUAGCUUGUUUUGCAAGUCCUCCGUUAAAUCCACCUGCUCAACAGAUGGGCCGCGGAGGAUACUACAGGGCUAGGAGGCGGGAGAGGCAAGCGGUACUCAGUGGGUAGGGGUAAAAUCCUCUGAUCCACUGAAGACCACCAGUGGCGAAGGCGGCUUGCCAGAACGCGCUCGACGGUGAGGGAUGAAAGCUGGGGGAGCAAACCGGAUUAGAUACCCGGGUAGUCCCAGCUGUAAACGAUGCAGACUCGGUGAUGGGUUGGCUUUGAGCCAACCCAGUGCCGCAGGGAAGCCGUUAAGUCUGCCGCCUGGGGAGUACGGUCGCAAGACUGAAACUUAAAGGAAUUGGCGGGGGAGCA
rnacentral:rRNA from 1 species